rnacentral:tRNA from 1 species
GGGCCCAUAGCUCAGCCUGGUUAGAGCCACCGGCUCAUAACCGGUAGGUCCCUGGUUCGAAUCCAGGUGGGCCCACCA